GGAAAUUGGGUGACACCUCUGCUACAUUCAGAGUUGAGAGACCCUUGCCUGAUUCAGCAUCAUUCACCUGAACCUUCCCAAAAUCAGGUGAAACAAGGCCACAAAAGAAUGGUAUAUUACAGAUUUACAAACACAGAGAGAAUCUUUCAAACUGAACUGUAGUUAACCUGGCUCUGUGAAGAAACUUCACCACAUCACGAUGGUGAGUUCAGUUUAGUUUCCUUCCACCUCCCCCCAACCCUUUGGCUUUCAUGGCAUUAUUGUCUUUAAUAUAUGUUUUACUGGACAUAUCACAUUAAAUCUUUAUUGCCCUCAAAUCCAUUUACCUAUCUCAGAUAAGUAAAUGUAACCUUGUAAAACAGCUAUUAUUGAAAAUAUUAGCUUUAAAAACAUUAUUCCUGUUUACAAAGAAAUAUAGGAGUCACAUUUUCCACAGAGUCCAUCUACAGUAUUAGUAUUUUACUGUUAUAAUGCUCAGUAGCCUGUAGCAGUAACAAACUAGUGGCUAUUAAUGCUAAUGCAGUGUUCUCAUAGAAUAACUGUGUUCCUGCACUUUUACUGUAUUACAGACAAAUCUACAACAAAAAAAAAAGAUCAACUUUUU
rnacentral:lncRNA from 1 species